rnacentral:piRNA from 1 species
UGCAUGAAGUUUUUGAUUGCG